GUAGUUGCUGGGGGUCCCUAGGCCGGGCCCCAGGACCUCUAGGAAAUGCCGGGGGCUGUUUGCUGCGGCUUCAUCCCGGAGCUCCUGCUCGGGGUUGCCGGCUGCCUCUGCUGGCGUCCCUCUUCCCUUCCUUUGCGUAAGCGGCAACUCCUCCAGGAAGCCAGUGGAAGGACGGGAUUUCCUCUCCACGUAGGGUAGUAGAUCGCAUAGCCCAGCCGGAUCGCCCAGCAGGAGUGCAGGGCGCGCGUCGGGGUUUCUCCGGCUUGUGGGUGUGCGGUUCGAAACCUUAGCUGGGGUGGGGGAAGGGAUGUCUUUAACUUUCUGUCUACCCUCCCCCUCUUCCCUCUCUCAGCUUAGAGGCAGGGGAUGCUGCGGGAUCAGACUGGGUACACCGAGGCGGAGGGCCAUGCCGGGCUUCGCCCUUCCUGGGUUUCCCGGAGUCCGUUCCGGAGAAACCCUGGCAUUGCCAGAACUGGGUCCCCGCACUCACUCCUCCAUAAUUCGCGGCGGAUCAGCGGGAGGAGGGCAGAGGGCGGGGGCGAGGCAGCUUCCUGGCGGGUGUGGCGCAAAGUGCGCGGACCCGGGUCCUGGACUGAAGAUUUAGCCCAGGGUUUCGUGUGUGUUGCUCCCUGUUGCUUUCUACGGGGUCUGCGCUGGCCUCCUCCUCGGGCGACUGGGCCCUGAGGCAACAGCGCCUUCUCGAGCCCCGAGGAUUGACCGCCCCGAGCCUGCCUGGAGCAGGGCCUCUCUCCAGCGCGGUGUGAUGAAACACCAGCUGCUGUGAAGAUACACCCUUAGAAACGAACCGUCUGUUAAUAUGGAAAAAAACCAUUCUUCCAGGAGAGGCUCCUCCAAGCAAACUUCCCCUUACAUCUCUUACCAGAACUGGGUCACAUGCUCCCAUCUAAAACAACCACUGGCCAUUAGAAAUGGUGUUACCAUGCCUGUCUUGGACCAAUCACAUUUGAUCCUCUGGGGAUAGAGACAUGUUGCCACCUGAACAACUGUGGGGUGCUGUACUCCUGGGAAGCAGGGAGAAUGGCUGUGGCUAGGCAACUGACAGCAUCUACCACAAAUAUGUUACUCAGAAGAAGACUCGAGGAUGGCCAUAAUUUUUAUUUAAAGAUUUCUAUUUUACAGAGGCAUAUCUGAUUAAGGGACAUUUAAACUUCCCUGUUAAACUUAUCAAGACAAAAAGACAAGGCAUCUUGCCACAUUUCUUAAAUAUUCUCUGCAGUCUCUCUUGACCUUUUCCCAGCUGUGCUGUAAACAUAAAGAUAAUAACAUAUCUGAAUAACAUUUUAUGGUGCACAGAUAAUUUUCACAUACAUUAUCCAUUUGACCCUCACCAUAACUGUAUGGGGUAGGUAAGGUACGAUUGUACUUUUCAUUAAUUUUUUUUUUUUUUUUUUGAGACAGAGUCUCGUUCUGUCACCCAGGCUAGAGUGCAGUGGUGCGAUCUGGGCUCACUGCAACCUCCACCUCCCAGGUUCAAGUGAUUCUCCUGCCUCAGCCUCCAAGUAGCUGGGAUUACAGGCAAGCGCCACCAUGCCUGGCUAGUUUUUGUAUUUUUUUAGUAGAGACGGGGUUUCACCAUGUUGGCCAGGCUGGUCUAGAACUCCUGACCUCAGGUGAUCCACAUGCCUCGGCCUCCCAAAGUGCUGGGGUUACAGGCAUGAGCCUCUGCUCCUGGCCACUUUUCAUUAAUUUUUAUUGGAUUUAGGAUUAGAAGGAUGAGCAAAUCCUACUACUUAGUGCGUGGAAUACUGGCAUCUAUUGUUUUUGCUUGGCUCCUCUCUUGUUUUAAUAAUUAACUAAUCGAUCCAUUCUUUUUUAUUGCCAUCUCCCACUCACACUUUUUCCUCCACAUAGGCAAUCAUUCUAAAUAUGUCCAAUGUUUAUCUUAUUUGUAUGCGUAUUUAUAAAGUGAAUAUUUUGUUUAGUGUGUAUGCAGUUUCAUUUGCAUAAAUUGUAAUAUUCUGUGAAUCUCAUUCUGUUUUGUACUUUUUUCAUUCUGCUCUGUUUUUAGAAGUGAUCCAUGUUGCUAUGUGUAUCUACUCCAUUGCCUUUAAAUGCUGCAUAAUACUCCACGGUGUUUGUCGAUCAUGUUUUACUCAUCUUUGCCCCCUAGUGGAAACCAUGAUGGCCUCCAACU